rnacentral:rRNA from 1 species
UACGUAGGGGGCAAGCGUUGUCCGGAAUUAUUGGGCGUAAAGAGCGCGUAGGCGGUCCGAUAAGUCGGCUGUGAAAGUCAGGGGCUCAACCCUUGAAAGCCGGCCGAUACUGUCGGACUAGAGUCCGGAAGAGGCAAGUGGAAUUCCCGGUGUAGCGGUGAAAUGCGCAGAUAUCGGGAGGAACACCAAUGGCGAAGGCAGCUUGCUGGGACGGUACUGACGCUGAGACGCGAAAGCCAGGGGAGCAAACGGG